ACAAACAGGAUUUCAUAGAUGCACAUAGCGUCCACGCAUCUUCUCUCCCACUUACAAUUUCACACGGCCGCAGCUACUUUUUCCCGAUCCCCUUUCUCCUUUGCUCCGUUGACUCCAAAAUUGCUGCCACCAGAUGAGCUUGGUCGUCCUCACCAGCAGCCGCGGCAGUGGGCGACUCGUUUGUGCUGCCGCAGGGUGACCAUCUAUGGCGGCUGGUUUGGCUCGUACAACUCCUUGGUCUCCUAGCAGGGUCCAAGGAGCAGCUGCGCAAGGGAGUAUGCGAAAUCAUGGUGUCCGUGCGGUUGAUUUUGGCGUGUAUUUCGUCUCCCGCAGCUAGAUUGGAUCCAACUGGAGUAAUAGGAUGCAGGCAACGUUGUGUUCCCCAGUUGCGAGGCAGACACAUCAUUUCUAUUCCCGCUCGAUGCAGCCCGGCACGUCGUCGUCAUCCUCCACGGCCUCAGCAUUCUUCCAAGUUUGAACUUCAACUUGCAGUCUAGGUCGUUGGAUUGACAUGAUUUGAUGGCCGAGAUUAAUUGGAUCUGCCUCUUUGGGUCUUUUUAUAUUGGUAUAGAUGAGGUAUAUUUCUUGCCUCAAACAGAGCAUAUUUCCCAUUUUCUUACAAAAUAAGAGUCAUGUUCCUUGUAUGCCCUAUAUGUAUAUAUUCCUACAACAUACAUACAUACUACACUUAGGUGCAAUGUAGUCACUAUUUUCCUUAGACAUUCGGAGAAGUAAAGACAUAAAGAGGAACUCAUAUAUAUUUUCCAUAAAGAGGAAUGCCCUGCAAAAUUUUAAAAUGGUGAAACUUUUAUACAUGCUUGCUAGUAAUUCUGAGCCAAAUGCAAUAGAGAUGUAGAAUGUCACAUCUAUGACAUGAAUAAUUAUAACUUUAGUCAUUCAGAAUUUCAGUGCUAAAAGUAAUCUGAAUGUCAAAUACAGAAAGGUUUACCUCUGUCAUUGUAUGAACUUAUUUUGAGGGAUUUGAACAUUGAGAGAAUUCCUUAUUUGGCCCUUUCUUAAAAUCUGGUUCCCUAUUUGGCCCUAGAAAUUUCAUUUUUCCCUUUUUGACAUCAUAAAUUCAUUUUAUUCCUCCCAUGACACUUCUAUCACUUUUUGCUGUUAACACCAUCAAAUGUGACUUGAAAUGUCUUAUUUACCCCUGCUUUACCACGUCGGAAAAAAAAUGAAAAAUUUAGUUGCGGUGCGAGGCAUGGAGGAGGGCGCGGCGGCGCUGUGCAGGCCCAAGUCGCGGCACCGGAUGUCACGCCCCGAGACCCUCCAGUUGCUGCACCUCUCACUAGUGCAAAGGCCAAACAAACCUGUGGCCACCAUGCAAAGUCUCCACGUAGCCAUUUGAAUGUCCUAAGUAUUUCUAGAGUGUUGCCAGCACAUGCAUGUACAUCCCAUAAAUAUCAGGCCACAUAGCUAGCUAGCUACUUCAUGAUUAGUUUGUACUUCUAUUUACUUUGUACUACUGCUGAGUCAGACCGACAUGAGCCAGAGGAAAAACUCCACACCUAUUCUUCUCUUCUCACAAGUUCUCUAUAUAUUGGCAUGCGUACUACUUAGUUUCGGAGGAUUUCCUCCACCCGUGUACAUCUUCCCAUUAUCCAUGUACUAAUCUUGGUGUAGCAUAUCUUAUUUUCUUAAUUAUUUAUUUAAACAAAUAAUACAAAUUUAAUUAUCUAACUUAACUCAACAACUUAAAAUAAAUAUCCUUAAAAAUCAGGGUUAUUACACCGGAGGUCCGUUGGUGGCAGGGGCGUGCUAACUGGGUCGCCGUGGCUGCGUGCUUUCCAUGGUCCAGUGUGUACUCUUCGUGCGUGUGUGAUGUGAUGUGUGUGUUGUGUGCAAAUAGAGAAAUUGAGAGAUGGAUCUCUUCUACACGUUGUGCGUGAAGAGAGAAACCGUGAGAUUGUUGUGCAUGUCUGUACUGCUCGUACAUGUUAAUUAGUGCACUGGUUCUUAUUAAUAUGGGUUUCUCAGUACAAUCUUAUAAUAUAAUUUCGUUGCAAAUCCAAGGCACUGAAGCAUUCUGUCCACGCGCCUACAUCGCCAUAGCUUUUGACUUCCAGCUCAUAAUUUUAGUCACAAAAUACAUCAGGGGUAAAAUGGAUUUUUCAUGUUGCAUUUAAUGGUGUUAGUUGUCAAAACUGACGGAAAUGUCAUAAAGGGAACAAAAUGAAGUUUGAGUGUCAAAACAGGAAGAAUUUUUUUACCAGGGCCAAAAAAGGAACCAAAUUUUAAGGAAGGGCCAAAUAAGGUAUUCUCUCUUGAACAUUUGGUGAAAUUAAUUGAUGAUCAUAUACAUGGGAAACAUUUUGGCAGAACUACAGUUAGUGAUGAUUUUCCCUACGCAUGGCCUAUAGCAGAACUGUAAUCUAGCAUUAUCUAAAAUAAGAGACCAGCCUUGGACUAUUAUCUUCCCAUGGUACCACCAUGCUAAUGCUGAAAACAACGUCUAGUACAAUGAAUCUUGCUUUGAAUAUAACAGAACUACUACCCUGCAACUUUAUUCUAUACUGAAAAAUAAUUGUUGCAAUAGUUAAGCUUAUUCCAAAUCUUGUAAGGUACAAUGCACAUACAAAAGAAAGGGUAUACAAUUUGCAGGUCACUAAUCAUAUACUUGAUUCUUAACUUUGUGUUGGGUUUCUUCUAACAUUUCAUAAUACAGAUAGGCAAAUACAUGAUUUAUUUCUGCUACAUUUUCCAGAACAGCAGGAUUAUGGAUAGUUCCGAGAAGGCGCCUCCCGAUCAAGGCUAUUAAUACUCUUGUUGUACUUGUCAAGUCCGACAUCCUAGUGCUAUGUCUCGGCUGUAUGGGUGUCAAGGAAAUUUUCAACCUGGCCUGAUGGAUGCAAGUGUUUCCUACUCUCGUAUCUCUAUGGUGAUCAAGACUCAGCGAUCCAUGACACACAGAACUUUGGCUCACUGCUCUCACAAAAAGGGGUAAACAUGCAUGGCGUGCCAUAACUGGGUCUGGUUUGCAAGGAAGCAUUCUGUUGUCUGGCCAUUAUUAUUGUGGUCACCUAUACAAAUCGAACUGAUCUGACAUGCUCAUCCUCCAUUCAUGGGUGAUUGUUGUCAUUAGCUCCACUCUUAUCACCUUACCAAAUCUGAAGCCUCGCUUCUCUCCUGGAUGUGCAUGUUGGUGGAUGGAUGUAUGCAUUCAGCAAAGCACAGAGGCAGAAGUCCACCAGUCCAAUCUUCAUCCUUGACUCUCAAAAAUCUGCAUAGGCACAACUCCAUUAUGCAUUACAAUAUGACACCAUGCUUUAGCCUCAUCAAUCUUUGUAAAGUUUGUGGAUGGACAUUUAGUUUGUUUUGAUAACUAAAGGGGAAAACCUUUGGCCAGAGCUGGACAUGAGAGCAAAGCGAGGGAUAAAGGAUUGCAUGGCAGUGCACUAUGUCUUAAAGUCCCUGGCAACAUCUGUUGUGCUAAUGAAAACUGGUGUCCUCAACCAAAUUGAGGGCCACAAAUUUUAUUCAGUACUCCAGCUAGGUAUUGCUAAUCAUGGUCCCCGGUCCCGUAGUGGAUGGAGCACCAAUUUUUUGGGAGUUGGAUCAAUCACAUCAGAUUCAAUCGGCAAUCGCUAAAUAGUAGUAAAGCUUGAAGUGAACUUACCUGAAGUUUUGGCAAGAAUUAAUCUGAUCAAUCUAGAGCCGACCCAAGCAAAAGCACGUAUAGCGAGUUUACAUUUAACUGAACAUAUAUUGAUCAAGCUAUAUUAUUCCGUGAAGCUAACUUUGCACACCUACGUAAAAGCAAGCUAGUAUUAGCAGGUUCAUGUACGGGGAGUUUCCGGCUAGCCGCGUAAGCUACUCCAAGAAGCUAGCUUUGCGUAACUGCAUGUCUUUUGCCGCGUGAAAAAUCACAAAACUGGCCCUUUGCCGAAAAUUCAGCACAAAAUGGCUCUUUUUUAAAAAUAUUUCAUAAAAUGGCCUUAACUGUAUGACGCCCGCACCCGGGGCGCCAUGCUAGAUAACAUAACGCCUUGGUCAACAGCGCCAUGCGCGUCGGCGCUGACUGCUACGUCGGCUUGGCCUUGGGCCCAUGACGCCUCGGCCCAAGGCGCCAUGGGCUGUGACAUGACGCUCCGCCCCGGGGCGCCAUACCCCUUCACUACAUCGCCGCCCGAGCCCCUCUGCUCUCUGUUCGUUCUUUCUCUCCUCUCUCUGUUCUUUCCCCACUCCAUGGCGCCCCUCAAAUCGCCCCUCCCUCUCCCCACUCAAGAGCUGUGGAUCUGAGCCGAAGAUUCGUGGAUCUGGUUGCCCUUCGAAUCCUCAAGGAUGGCUUCUCUUAUCCAUCCAUCGUAUGAUCAAUUGCAUCGUGGACGGUUCAUGGCAGAUGAAGGAAGGGUUUUUGAUCAGCUUCACUUGAGGUCCGGUUCGGUUCAUGACAAGAUGAAGUAUGACAAGCGAUACAUGGAGUAUAUCCGGAAGACCGGGCUUCUCCCUUUGAUCUCACCCGUGUCUCGUUCGAUGCCGAAGAUGAACCCUUGUGCGAUCACGACACUCGUUGACUGAUGGCGCCCUGAGACACAUACUUUUCAUUUCUAUGCUAGGGAGAUGACUGUCACUUUGCAGGAUGUUUCUCUGAUCAUUGAACUCCCCAUCAAAGGAGAGCCUAUUUGUUUUAGCACAGAUUCUGAUGGAUGGCGUGAGAUUAUGGUUGGACUCAUAGGGAGGGAGCCAGGGGUACAAGGGACGUCCGCCGGUGCAAGUUAUCAUU